rnacentral:rRNA from 1 species
CCUACGGGAGGCAGCAGUGGGGAAUAUUGCUCAAUGGAGGGAACUCUGAUGCAGCGACGCCGCGUGGGGGAUGAAGGAUUUCGGUUUGUAAAGCUCUAUUGGUAGGGAAGAAAGUGACGGUACCUGAAAAAGAAGCUACGGCUAAAUACGGGCCAGCAGCCGCGGUAAUACGGAGGGAGCAAGCGUUAUCCGGAUUUACUGGGAGUAAAGGGAGAGUAGGUGGGAGAGCAAGUCCGAUGUGAAAUCCUAUAGCUAAACCAUGGGACUGCAUUUGAAACUGCUAAUCUAGAGUACAGGAGAGGUACGUGGAAUUCUUGGUGUAGCGGUAAAAUCCGUAGAGAUCAAGAGGAAUACUCAUUGCGAAGGCGACCUGCUAGACUAUAACUGACACUGAUGCUCGAAAGCGUGGGGAGCAAACAGGAUUAGAUACCCUGGUAGUC